rnacentral:rRNA from 1 species
GGCAGACGGGUGAGUAACACGUGGGAACGUGCCCUUCGGUUCGGAAUAACCCAGGGAAACUUGGGCUAAUACCGGAUACGUCCGCAAGGAGAAAGAUUUAUCGCCGAGGGAUCGGCCCGCGUCCGAUUAGCUAGUUGGUGAGGUAAUGGCUCACCAAGGCGACGAUCGGUAGCUGGUCUGAGAGGAUGAUCAGCCUCACUGGGACUGAGACACGGCCCAGACUCCUACGGGAGGCAGCAGUGGGGAAUAUUGGACAAUGGGCGCAAGCCUGAUCCAGCCAUGCCGCGUGAGUGAUGAAGGCCCUAGGGUUGUAAAGCUCUUUCGGCGGGGAAGAUAAUGACGGUACCCGCAGAAGAAGCCCCGGCUAACUUCGUGCCAGCCGCCGCGG